AAUAAGAUAAGCUAAAUUUAAGCUAAUGGGUUCAUGCCCCAAAAAUGAUUAAUUCUCUUAUUA
rnacentral:tRNA from 1 species